UGAGGAAUAUUGGUCAAUGGGCGCAAGCCUGAACCAGCCAUGCCGCGUGCAUGAUGACGGUCCUAUGGAUUGUAAACUGCUUUUGUACAGGAAGAAACAGUUCUACGUGUAGAACCUUGACGGUACUGUAAGAAUAAGGAUCGGCUAACUCCGUGCCAGCAGCCGCGGUAAUACGGAGGAUCCAAGCGUUAUCCGGAAUCAUUGGGUUUAAAGGGUCCGUAGGCGGUUUUGUAAGUCAGUGGUGAAAGCCCAUCGCUCAACGGUGGAACGGCCAUUGAUACUGCAAGACUUGAAUUACUAGGAAGUAACUAGAAUAUGUAGUGUAGCGGUGAAAUGCUUAGAUAUUACAUGGAAUACCAAUUGCGAAGGCAGGUUACUACUAGUGGAUUGACGCUGAUGGACGAAAGCGUGGGGAGCGAACAGG
rnacentral:rRNA from 1 species